GAGUUUGAUCCUGGCUCAGGAUGAACGCUGGCGGCGUGCCUAACACAUGCAAGUCGAACGAAGCAAUCGGGAUGAAGUUUUCGGAUGGAUUCCUGGUUGACUGGGUGGCGGACGGGUGAGUAACGCGUGGAUAACCUGCCUCACACUGGGGGAUAACAGUUAGAAAUGGCUGCUAAUACCGCAUAAGCGCACAGUACCGCAUGGGUACGGUGUGAAAAAACCCCAGGUGGUGUGAGAUGGAUCCGCGUCUGAUUAGCCAGUUGGCGGGGUAACGGCCCGACCAAAGACGACGAUCAGUAGCCGACCUGAGAGGGUGACCGGCC
rnacentral:rRNA from 1 species